rnacentral:rRNA from 1 species
GGGACUUUGAGUGCCAGGAUACAAUCUUGGCUGUCGUCGUGCCUAAAAAGCACGGCAUAGCAAGGGCCGGGCAAGACCGGUGCCAGCCGCCGCGGUAACACCGGCGGCUCGAGUGGUAACCGCUAUUAUUGGGUCUAAAGGGUCUGUAGCCGGCUGGAUAAGUCUCUUGGGAAAUCCGACAGCUUAACUGUCGGGCUGUCAGGAGAUACUGUCCGGCUCGAGACCGGGAGAGGUGAGAGGUACUUCAUGGGUAGGGGUGAAAUCUUGUAAUCCUUGAAGGACCACCAGUGGCGAAGGCGUCUCACCAGAACGGAUCUGACGGCAAGGGACGAAAGCUAGGGGCACGAACCGGAUUAGAUACCCGGGUAGUCCUGGCCGUAAACGAUACUCGCUAGGUGUCGGCCACGGUGCGACCGUGGUCGGUGCCGUAGGGAAGCCGUGAAGCGAGCCACCUGGGAAGUACGGCCGCAAGGCUGAAACUUAAAGGAAUUGGCGGGGGAGCAC